AUGAGCCAGGCCCUCAGAAACAGGAUGGGCCCUGUCCCCAGCCAGGGACAUCACAAGGACCAUGACCCAGGCCCUCAGAAACAGGAUGGGCCCUGUCCCCAGCCAGGGACAUCACAAGGACCAUGACCCAGGCCCUCAGAAGCAGGAUAGACCCUGUCCCCAGCCAGGGACAUCACAAGGACCAUGACCCAGGCCCUCAGAAGAAGGGUAGGCCCUGUCCCCGUCCUUCGUUUAAAUGGAGCUGUGUGUGGAAGGCCCUGUGCCUUAAGUACCUUGAUUGCUUCCACAUGAGGUGCUAGCUUUGUUCUCCCAAAACAGGAGUAAAGUCACAUGGAGCUCUCAGGUUUAAUUCCUGAUUAAGGUUCAGAAACAGAUUGGAGCACUAAAACACUUUGAACAGGACUUAGACACAAG
rnacentral:lncRNA from 1 species